UGGGGAAUAUUGGACAAUGGGCGCAAGCCUGAUCCAGCCAUGCCGCGUGAGUGAUGAAGGCCUUAGGGUUGUAAAGCUCUUUCGCCGGUGAAGAUAAUGACGGUAACCGGAGAAGAAGCCCCGGCUAACUUCGUGCCAGCAGCCGCGGUAAUACGAAGGGGCUAGCGUUGCUCGGAAUCACUGGGCGUAAAGCGCACGUAGGCGGAUCGUUAAGUCAGGGGUGAAAUCCUGGAGCUCAACUCCAGAACUGCCCUUGAUACUGGCGAUCUCGAGUUCGAGAGAGGUUGGUGGAACUCCGAGUGUAGAGGUGAAAUUCGUAGAUAUUCGGAAGAACACCAGUGGCGAAGGCGGCCAACUGGCUCGAUACUGACGCUGAGGUGCGAAAGCGUGGGGAGCAAAACAGGAUUAGAUACCCUGGUAGUCUACGCCGUAAACGAUGGAUGCUAGCCGUUGGGGGGUUUACCUCUCAGUGGCGCAGCUAACGCCUUAAGCAUCCCGCCUGGGGAGUACGGUCGCAAGAUUAAAACUUAAAGGAAUUGACGGGGUCAUAGCUGUUUCCU
rnacentral:rRNA from 1 species